UUCAAUCUCUGUCACGGUAUUUGAAGUUACUCGGAGCAAUCUUAACUUCAAUUUAUAUUUAGUAUUGAAGUUUUAAAGCACCAACGGGAAAAGGAAACAACAGAGUUUGGAUGGUCUGAUCAAAGAAAUCUGUAGAAUUCUUUGGUGAGUUUGUGUGAAUGGUCAAGACGAAAGAAGAAGUUGUAGCAGGAACCAUGCAUCAUCUGUCCCUGGAGAUCAUUGAGGCUGGGAAGGAGCUUUACGAAGAAAAAUUGUGGGUGAAGCCAUGGUUGAACUUCAACGAGUUGCAGGAACUCAAGCUUGCCGUUGAUGAUGCCCCCACCAUUACACCCUCUGAUCUUGGCUGAAAAAGAUAACAAUGUAUCUGGAUGGAGGGAAGUUUCAAGAGAUGGUUAAGAAGUGCAACAUGUUUCCUGAUCAUGCCGUUUAUUUUUUUCUCAGUGAACGUUUAUUUUCUUUUUGCCAAGGUUUCACAAAAAAGGCUUUAUGUAAACCUAAA